rnacentral:rRNA from 1 species
GAUGAACGCUGGCGGCGUGCCUAAUACAUGCAAGUCGAGCGAACAGAUGAGGAGCUUGCUCCUCUGACGUUAGCGGCGGACGGGUGAGUAACACGUGGAUAACCUACCUAUAAGACUGGGAUAACUUCGGGAAACCGGAGCUAAUACCGGAUAAUAUAUUGAACCGCAUGGUUCAAUAGUGAAAGACGGUUUUGCUGUCACUUAUAGAUGGAUCCGCGCCGCAUUAGCUAGUUGGUAAGGUAACGGCUUACCAAGGCAACGAUGCGUAGCCGACCUGAGAGGGUGAUCGGCCACACUGGAACUGAGACACGGUCCAGACUCCUACGGGAGGCAGCAGUAGGGAAUCUUCCGCAAUAGGCGAAAGCCUGACGGAGCAACGCCGCGUGAGUGAUGAAGGUCUUCGGCUCGUAAAACUCUGUUAUUAGGGAAGAACAAAUGUGUAAGUAACUAUGCACGUCUUGACGGUACCUAAUCAGAAAGCCACGGCUAACUACGUG